ACGCACGCUGGCGGCGUGCUUAACCCCUGCAAGUCGCACGGAAAGGCCCUGCUUGCAGGGUCCUCGAGUGGCGAACGGGUGAGUAACACGUGGGUGAUCUGCCCUGCACUUCGGGAUAAGCCUGGGAAACUGGGUCUAAUACCGGAUAGGAGCCAUUUUUAGUGUGAUGGUUGGAAAGUUUUUUCGGUGUAGGAUGAGCUCGCGGCCUAUCAGCUUGUUGGUGGGGUAAUGGCCUACCAAGGCGGCGACGGGUAGCCGGCCUGAGAGGGUGGACGGCCACAUUGGGACUGAGAUACGGCCCAGACUCCUACGGGAGGCAGCAGUGGGGAAUAUUGCACAAGGGGCGCAAGCCUGAUGCAGCGACGCCGCGGGGGGGAGGACGGCCUUCGGGUUGUAAACUCCUUUCGCUAGGGACGAAGCUUUUUGUGACGGUACCUAGAGAAGAAGCACCGGCUAACUACGUG
rnacentral:rRNA from 1 species